rnacentral:tRNA from 1 species
CGGGGCGUAGCGCAGUUUGGUAGCGCACCUGCUUUGGGAGCAGGGGGUCGCAGGUUCGAAUCCUGUCGCCCCGACCA